rnacentral:lncRNA from 1 species
CAAUAAAAGGAGAAGACGCGAGGACUUAGCUUUUGUUGGAGGAGGGUCAGCUGCCCUGUUCAGUCGAGUCGAAAGGGCCGACUGCCAUGUUCCUGCGCUGACGUGAGGAUCGCUGGCAAAAGGUAAGCAGUUGCCUUAAUGUUCGUGAGCGAAUGCUAUAGACAUCCUCCUGCGAUGAUGGAUGGGAUGGUAACAUCUGCCUUUACAACUGAUAAUCCAAGAGCUUCAUCAAUUGCUCGACAACCAAUUCCCUUAAGUCUUCGAGCUUUGCUCAAUAUUGGGAUAAUGAAAUGCCCUUGCACAAAAACCACAAGAAAUCGUAAGUAAAAUUGAGUGAAAAUUAGGGCACUGAGUUUCGGCAAGAAAUUAAUUGAGAAAUCAAUGGCUGCGCCGGCGAAGUGGGCUGGUUUAACGGAGCUACGUCUCAAAGAGAGAAACGACGCCGGAAAAGGCUGGACGUCAGCCUCGCCGCACUAGAGACUAAGCAGUCGCAGAUGGUCUGCGCUGCUGUUCUGCGGUUGAAGUAGGAGACUAAGGUUGCGUUGUUCUGGUAGGACGGCGAUGGAGAAAACCGAGCUGCGAUUUGUGGACUCAAUUCACACGAAACCUCGGC